UCUUUGGAAGAAACUCGGAAGUAAAGGCGAGAAGAUUCUUUGUUUAAAACAUUAAAAACAAAACAGACCAAAACAUCAAGCAAGACGUUUUCUGGCAAUAAACUAAGCACAGCAUUAUUUUUUAAGGAAUACAAAUUAAAAUGUUCAACCUGUGGCAAAUUUGUGCUUUCUCCCUGAAUUAUGUUGUUAUCAAAGAAAAAAAAUGGAAAAGGCUGGUGAAAUAUCAUCAAAACUGAAACUAG
ensembl:misc_RNA